ACCCAAACCCCAGGUCAGCUGACUCCAAGUCCCAGGGCUUGUGAUGGCUGGUGGACCCUCAACGAGGGGUCUGGAGGCCUGGGUUUGAAUUAUC
rnacentral:pre_miRNA from 1 species